rnacentral:rRNA from 1 species
AGUGAACGCUGGCGGUAGGCCUAACACAUGCAAGUCGAACGGCAGCACAGUAAGAGCUUGCUCUUACGGGUGGCGAGUGGCGGACGGGUGAGGAAUACAUCGGAAUCUACUUUUUCGUGGGGGAUAACGUAGAGAAACUUACGCUAAUACCGCAUACGACCUACGGGUGAAAGCAGGGGAUCUUCGGACCUUGCGCGAUUGAAUGAGCCGAUGUCGGAUUAGCUAGUUGGCGGGGUAAAGGCCCACCAAGGCGACGAUCCGUAGCUGGUCUGAGAGGAUGAUCAGCAACACUGGAACUGAGACACGGUCCAGACUCCUACGGGAGGCAGCAGUGGGGAAUAUUGGACAAUGGGCGCAAGCCUGAUCCAGCCAUACCGCGUGGGUGAAGAAGGCCUUCGGGUUGUAAAGCCCUUUUGUUGGGAAAGAAAAGCAGCAGGUUAAUACCCCGCUGUUCUGACGGUACCCAAAGAAUAAGCACCGGCUAACUUCGUG